CUUGGUCAUUUAGAGGAAGUAAAAGUCGUAACAAGGUCUCCGUAGGUGAACCUGCGGAGGGAUCAUUACAGAGUUCAUGCCCUUCGGGGUAGAUCUCCCACCCUAUGUCUUACUACUCAUGUUGCUUUGGCGGGCCGCCGCAAGGCCCUCGGCUCCGGCUGGGGCGUGCCCGCCAGAGGACCUCAAACUCUGAAUGUUAGUGUCGUCUGAGUACUAUAUAAUAGUUAAAACUUUCAACAACGGAUCUCUUGGUUCUGGCAUCGAUGAAGAACGCAGCGAAAUGCGAUAAGUAAUGUGAAUUGCAGAAUUCAGUGAAUCAUCGAAUCUUUGAACGCACAUUGCGCCCCUUGGUAUUCCGGGGGGCAUGCCUGUUCGAGCGUCAUUACAACCCUCAAGCUCUGCUUGGUGUUGGGCGCCACCGGUCUCCGGUGUGCCCUAAAAUCAGUGGCGGCGCCGUCUGGCUCUAAGCGUAGUACAUCUUUCGCUAUAGGGUCCCGACGGAUGCUUGCCAGCAACCCCCAAUUUUUUACAGGUUGACCUCGGAUCAGGUAGGGAUACCCGCUGAACUUAAGCAUAUCAAUAAGCGGAGGA
rnacentral:rRNA from 1 species